rnacentral:rRNA from 1 species
AACAAACGCUGGCGGCGUGCCUAAUACAUGCAAGUCGAACGGGGAAAGUAGCAAUAUGAGUACUAGUGGCGCACGGGUGAGUAACGCGUGGAUAAUCUGCCUUGAAGAGGGGGCUAACUAGUCGAAAGAUUAGCUAAUACCGCAUAAGACCACAAGAACUGAGGUUCAAGGGGUCAAAGGUUUUUCGCUUCAAGAUGAGUCCGCGUAAGAUUAGCUAGUUGGUGAGGUAAUGGCUCACCAAGGCAACGAUCUUUAACUGGUCUGAGAGGAUGAUCAGUCACACUGGAACUGAGACACGGUCCAGACUCCUACGGGAGGCGGCAGUAGGGAAUAUUGCACAAUGGAGGAAACUCUGAUGCAGCGACGCCGCGUGAGUGAUGAAGGCCUUCGGGUCGUAAAGCUCUGUCGCAGGGGAAUAACACAAUGAAUGUACCCUGUAAGAAAGGAUCGGCUAACUUCGUG